rnacentral:rRNA from 1 species
UACAUAGGGUGCGAGCGUUGUCCGGAAUUACUGGGCGUAAAGAGCUCGUAGGUGGUUUGUCGCGUUGUUCGUGAAAACUCACAACUCAAUUGUGGGCGUGCGGGCGAUACGGGCAGACUGGAGUACUGCAGGGGAGACUGGAAUUCCUGGUGUAGCGGUGGAAUGCGCAGAUAUCAGGAGGAACACCGGUGGCGAAGGCGGGUCUCUGGGCAGUAACUGACGCUGAGGAGCGAAAGCGUGGGGAGCGAACAGG